rnacentral:snRNA from 1 species
AGACGUGAGGACGAUCUGGCUGAGACAUCUGUCACCCCACUGUUUUCGAGGGUUGUUCGGCAGAUCUGGCCAGCUGGGCAGGUGUCCCCUUCCUCCCUCAGCCCUGCCUGUGCUUCCCUCCAGAAGGUGCGGACUGGGUCGAAGGGGACAACCACCCCCCAUAGAGGGGGCCUGGUCCUCCAUCAAGGGUACACAAAGAGCUGCGCUCCCCUGCUGGAACCUCCAAACAAGCUCUCAAUUAUGCCAGGUUUCCUCGGCACUUCAUUUGACUCAAAGAAUGGGUGUGAAACCUUGAGCAACAUUAAAGGGUUCUGUAAGCCUACUCCUU